UCCGUAGGCGGGUAAUUAAGUCAGAGGUGAAAUCCCACAGCUUAACUGUGGAACUGCCUUAGAUACUGGUUACCUUGAGUUUUAGUGAAGUAGAUAGAAUGUGUAGUGUAGCGGUGAAAUGCAUAGAUAUUACACAGAAUACCGAUUGCGAAGGCAGUCUACUAACUAACAACUGACGCUAAUGGACGAAAGCGUGGGGAGCGAACAGGAUUAGAUACCCUGGUAGUCC
rnacentral:rRNA from 1 species